rnacentral:rRNA from 1 species
AACGUAGGACGCAAGCGUUAUCCGGAAUUACUGGGCGUAAAGGGCGUGCAGGCGGUCUUUUAAGUUAGGCGUGAAAGCUCCCGGCUAAACCGGGAGAGGUCGUCUGAUACUGGGAGACUAGAGUAUGGUAGAGGCGUGUAGAAUUCCGCGUGUAGUGGUGAAAUGCGUAGAGAUGCGGAGGAAUACCAGUGGCGAAGGCGGCACGCUGGGCCAUAACUGACGCUAAGACGCGAAAGCAUGGGUAGCGAACGGGAUUAGAAACCCCCGUAGUCC